GGGCAUGUAGCUCAGCGGUAGAGCGCUUGACUUAUAAUCAAGUGGCCCCAGGUUCGAACCCUGGCAUGCCCA
rnacentral:tRNA from 1 species